GACGAACGCUGGCGGCGUGCUUAACACAUGCAAGUCGAACGCUGAAGCUCAGCUUGCUGGGUGGAUGAGUGGCGAACGGGUGAGUAACACGUGAGUAACCUGCCCUCUUCUUUGGGAUAACGCCCGGAAACGGGUGCUAAUACUGGAUAUUCACUGAUUCUCGCAUGGGGGUUGGUGGUAAGGUUUUUUCUGGUGGGGGAUGGGCUCGCGGCCUAUCAGCUUGUUGGUGGGGUGAUGGCGUACCAAGGCUUUGACGGGUAGCCGGCCGGAGAGGGUGACCGGUCACAUUGGGACUGAGAUACGGCCCAGACUCCUGCGGGAGGCAGCAGUGGGGAAUAUUGCACAAUGGGCGAAAGCCUGAUGCAGCGACGCCGCGUGAGGGAUGGAGGCCUUCGGGUUGUAAACCUCUUUCGCUCAUGGUCAAGCCGCAGCUUUGGGUUGUGGUGAGGGUAGUGGGUAAAGAAGCGCCGGCUAACUACGUG
rnacentral:rRNA from 1 species